UUUUUUUAGUGGUCGGCUAGAGGGCAGGUACGAGCGUCAUAACGGUCAUAACCUUAAAAGCAGCGAUCUGUUUUUGUUGCUUUUUUUAAAGUCAAGCAUGUGAGUACACUACAGAAUCUGUGUUUGAGCAGUGAAGCUCCAUGCUCAUUUGCUGUAUGUGACUAGUUGGUCCAAUAAACCUCUGUUCAGGCCACUGGUCUGUAUACAGAUUAGUAUACAACACGUAUUUUACAAUCCAGUACAAAUCCUUGGCACACAGGGAAUAAAUGCAUUUAGAUAAUUUAUAAUUAGAUUGUAUAUAUUAUGGACCUUAGAUUAGUUGAUUUAAAGACAGAUAUUACUCAUCCAGUAAUCUGCUGCAAAACCAACUUUCUUGUACACAUUUCAACAUCAUUUUAAAAAAGUUUAUCAAGAAUUUGCAUUGUACUGUAUAUUUAAUUGGCGGAGUUGUCUCAGUAUUGUAUUAUUAUUGGUUGCCAUACAAAUGGGACUAGUUUACGUUUUAUUUAUUGGUAGCAAUGCAGAUAAAGGUAUUUGGUAGUUCCUGUACUGUUGUUGUCUACCUUUUAACUCGCGAAGAGGGCGACUACGAAGUGCUGUCUCUAGAGAAGUCUAAUUAAAAUCUCGGCGUGCUGUUCAUUGUUUGUUAUAAAAGCUUUGGCUGCAGUGCACAUAGUGGUAGGUUGUGCUUGUGCGUGUCACCCUGCCUUCCAUAUUUCCCUUCUUUCGUGCCCUUUGUGUUAUCUCUGUAGAACUUCAGAUCUUCUUAUGUAUAAGACUUGUGUUGUUUUCCUAUUUACUAAUGUGUGUGUUACUUGUGUUGCCUAUGUAGAUGGUUUGUAUCAUAAUAGCAUUCUGUUAAUUUACAUCAUCAAUUUAUCACUCUAUCGACAAAUGGUUAAAAAUUUAAAAUAAACACCUUAUUUACGAAUGUUCGUGCGUUGCAGUAGCAACAAACACAGAUAAUUCAAAUUUGUAGAUAUAAACGCCGCGCUUUAUAACAUUAUCCAGACAUAAAAUUUUUGAACCUACGCGUGUUGCAGGCAUAUCAUGAACAUUAAACAAAUUUCAGCAUUUGAAUUUAAUUCUACAUUUCUGCAUCCACGCUUGCGUGAAUUCACUAAAAAGGCGUACAUAUUAAGAGCACGUGUGUAUAAAAUAAGUAAUUAAUGAUUCCAUACCAGUAUUUUAUGCGUUGCAACACUCCGACAAGGGGUGAUGAUGAUGAUAAAGAUUUGCGAAAUAAAUUAAAUUCUUAAGAGGAGGUGCGUUCUAAUGUAUCGGCGAUAGCUAGCAAGAAAAAAAGAGCAAAUUGCAGCCGCCAUUUUGAGCCACUUAAGCCGGAAUUUUCCGAUGAGGCAGACACUUCAAUAACCAAGGGUUUCCAAGAUAUGACCCAUUUUGCAUUACAAGUUUUGGAAAAUGCAUAAAGGGCAAACUUGAGCGGCCAUUUAGAGGCACUUAUUGCGGAAUUAUGCAAUAGGACAGAAUUGUAACUUCAAGAAAAACUCUUGCGCUAACAGAAUUCGCAGAAAGAAUGAAAAUAUCACAAAGGGUUCCCGGGAUACGACUCGCUGCGCCGGAAGUUUUGAAAAAUUCAAAGAAAGGGCCAACUAUAGCAGCCAUUUUGAGGCUCGGAAGGCGGAAUUUCGCGAUGAUACAAAAUUGCAUCUUCUGGAAGAACUCACGCAAACAGAAUUCCAGGAAAAUAUUAUUUACAGUCAGGCCCGCCGUAACCGGGCGUGCAAAGCGUGCACCGCACGCGGGCGGCAAAUUGAGCGACUUCUUACGUACCUAAUUCAAGUUUUUUUGACAAAACACUUAUAGUAGGGCGGCAUAAUCGGUAUUGCACACGGGCGACGAAACAGUUGCACACGGGCGACGAAACAGCUAGCGGCGGGCCUGUUUACAGUAUAUAAUAAAUAUAUCACAAAAGGCAACAACUCUCGUGCUAUGAAAAGAUGAUGAAAAAACUAAAAAGUUAAUUCUGUUAAUGCACAACAAGUGCUGUAAUAAAAAGAAAUGAUGUUGAAACAUUCCAUAAGAUUUAAUAAUAAUAUUUAAUACAUCGGAGAAAAAAUUUAAUAUAUUAUAUUUACAACUCGACACUUUGUGAGUUGCAUUAUAUACUUUGAACGCGAUCAAAAACAGGCAUUUAUGGACAAUAAACGCGCAGAUAGUAAAUAACAUUACUAUAGUCGCUAGUUAAAAUUAAAUAUUCGAUUGAUGAUUGAAACUACGCAAGCAACGACUAUCGCGUUGAAAAGAAUGCAAUAGAUAUGCAAAGCCGGUGAGUUGAAGGCACGCGACUUUGAGCGCGAAUUGCAUUUGGCACGUUACCUGCGAUCAAAACUUAACUUAUAUGCGGCGUGAGGGGAUGGCACCGACGACACAUGUGAAUGCGAUUAAAAGUACAAAUUUUGAGGUACUUAUUAUUGGGUAAUUAUUUAUUUUGUUCAAGACCUAUUUUUUGGGCAAACGACGAGUGGUGACUAAAACAGAGAAUAUUAUUCGAAUUAGAUAAGUUAUAAUGCGAAUUAACUAGUCAACUACCCUGACAAUCCGCACUGGACGACGAGGAACUGUUACCAUUGCGCGGUGAAAGCACUUUCGGACCAAAGCUUACUGUAUAACAUCCGUUAUUUGAUCCACUCGCUGAUGCCAAAGUUUCCGGAUCUGCUAAUGCAGAAGUUAUUCCAGAAUUUGAACUAGACUGAGCGGGUGCAGUAGGAAGACUGUAAUGUGGACGACCAGGUGGAUCUAUUAAACAGAAUUAUAUGAACAAAUAUAAGUUUAAUAAUUA